rnacentral:tRNA from 1 species
GAGGGUAUAGCUCAAGUGGUAAAGUGCACACUUAGCACACAUGUGGUCCUGGGUUCAAUCCCCAGUACCUCCU